rnacentral:ncRNA from 1 species
GCCGAUUUGGUCCUAGUCCCCAAAUUAGUUAUCUCCAAGAUGCCACAUGCAAGUAAACUAACCAGCCAGUGAAGUAAAAAAUUAAAUUGAACAAACUGAAAAGAAAACCAAUUUAAUUCAUUAGUAUCAAGCUCUUAAAAAAGCUAACAACACUAAGCAAUACGCCACACCUGCAGUGCUAAACAUUAAACAAUUAAGGAAACAUAGAUUUAGCAAAGGAGAAAAAGGGAGGUAAAAUACGUGCCAGCCACCGCGGUUAUACGUACUUCCUAAAACUAAACAAAACGGUCAAAAGAGCGGUUAAGAAAACAAAGUUAACCUUAGCCCAAAGAAAGCGGUAAAAAGCUAACCUAAGAAGAAAGAACGAAGUUAACAAAAAAUCCGAACCCGCGAAAGCCAAGACAUAAACCAGGAUUAGAUACCCUGUUAUACAUAGCCGUAAACCAACAAAAGCACCAGAGGAUUACAAACCAUAAGUUUAAAACUCAAAGGACUUGGCGGUUUUCCAAACCUCCCUGGAGGAGCUUGCCGUUGAAUCGAUAAUCCACGAAACACCUCACCAAUUCUUGAAAAACCAGCUUGUAUACCAUCGUCGUAAGCCUACUUCUUAAGAAAGUUGGCCCAAAGAAAUAUUCCCCAGACGUCAGAUCAAGGUGCAGCCAAUGAAAUGGGAACAGGUGAGCUACAAUGUCUAAAAAAGCCAGUGAAAGUCAAAAUGAAAAAUUAGACGAAAAUUGGAUUCAGUAGUACUGAACAAAAAGAAAUAGAACAGGAAAAAAGCUCUGGAAUGCGUACACAUCGCCCGUCACUCUCGCCUAGUAAAACAAUGCAAGGGGAGAAAAGUCGUAACACAAUAGGCUCACCGGAAGGCGAGCCUGGAAAGC